rnacentral:rRNA from 1 species
CAUAGGGUUAAAAAGGCAAACCCGGGGAACUGAAACAUCUAAGUACCCGGAGGAAAGGAAAUCAAUAUGAUACUCCCCUAGUAGCGGCGAGCGAACGGGGACCAGCCGAGCCAUGAGUGUGACUAGAAUGCGUUGGAAUGCGCAACCAGAGUGGGUGAUAGUCCCGUAUAGGAAGCAUGAUUGGACGUAUUAAGUAGGGCGGAACACGUGAAAUUCUGUCUGAAGAUCGGAGGACCACCUUCGAAGGCUAAGUACUCCUUACUGACCGAUAGUGAACCAGUACCGUGAGGGAAAGGUGAAAAGCACCCCGACGAGGGGAGUGAAACAGUACCUGAAACCGAACGCCUACAAUCAGUUGGAGGGCCCUUGCGGCCUGACAGCGUACCUUUUGUAUAAUGGGUCAUCGACUUGGUCUCACGAGCAAGCUUAAGCCGUUAGGUGUAGGCGCAGCGAAAGCGAGUCUUAAUAGGGCGUUGAGUUCGUGGGAUCAGACCCGAAACCGAGUGAUCUAGGCAUGACCAGGAUGAAGGUAA